GCCAAACAUGGGGCGUACGGUAGAUCGAAGCAAAAUCUUCGGUUCGGGAAUGAGGAAGGAGCCUGCUCUGAGCCUCAGCCGCCCCCGCGACUGUGAGUGGCGAGCGCGCGUUCAAACCACUGGAGGGUCUCUCCGGGAAGGGAAUGCACCGCGUCGACCCGCGAGCCAGGAGACCGGCCGUGCAGACAGAGAAACC
rnacentral:ncRNA from 2 species